GAACACACAGAAACAAAUGAGUCCUAAAUCCCUAACCCAAACACGCACUGUUCACCGUCUUCUUCAUCUCAUUCACGUUCAAAUCACACAGAAUCUAUGGCGAGUGAGCAUCAAUCUCGCCUCAUGCGUUCCCCUCUCUCCUCAUCACCAAUUUAACGAUUUCUGACGUGAAUAUUCCUCAUCGUUUCCUCUCACUCGAACCUCGCGUGCUUCAUCUGUCUCUAACAAAUGAAGGAUUGAUGGGGGUCGUAGGAUUAGUGAGGUGUAAUCCUCUUCGUCCAUCUGUCCCAAGUUAGUUGAUUUCAGAGAAAUUCUUGGUGAGAGGAGGCUAUAUAAGGUAAGGUUUUCAGAAAUUGAGGGAGGAUUUUUUUGGGGUAAGAGUUUUGGGAGAAGAAACUGAGGUUUAAAAAUAGUCUUUCUUCUUCUUCACUAUGGAAUUUUGAGUUUAGUUCCAGUCUAUAAAACAAAACAAAAAUAUAUAGAGAAAAUAGCUUGAAUUUCUUUUUGCAUUUAAUUCUGUUUUCCUUUGUUAGAAUCAGAAAACAAAAAUACAAAAAAAAAUUCGAUUUCUUUGCAUAUUAUCUCUGGGUUAAUCUUGCUUGUGAUGGAGUUGGUUUAAAAAUGGAGCUCGUUUGAGAAUUGCUGAGUUCAUCGCUGUCCGAGCCUCUGAUUCCUGCUCAUCUCUUCUACUGGCUUGGCUGUUCCUCGAGCCUCGACUCGUUAUUUUCUUGUUGAAAUUUUGGAGCCAAAGAUUGUAAUCGACUGUGCUUUUGUUAUCAAAGAAAUUUCGAUUUUCAGGUUCCUCUCUUAUCCUUUACUGCUUUUCCUGUGAAUCUAAAUGACGAAUGCAAAGUCGAUCAAUUUAGUGACUAUUUGAGAUGUGGCCUGAAUGAAUGUGUUGGAAUACCACUUAAGGUGUAGAUUGGCUUGGUUUACUAUGUGUUGACUAAGAAUUGGUUGUAUUGUGAUUGCUAAGCGAAACGUAAAGUAGAGGGAUGAUUCCUGGAAAUCUGAUGUUUUGUGGUUCUGUUAGUUAGCUUCAUCUAUUUAGUUUUCUAAAAUCACAGGAGGGCUUUAGGACUUCACUUUUUGAUUUCACUUCUUUCUAUUCUGUUUUGGAAGCUCUUUCAUAUAAAACCACAAGUUUCUUUCAGUUUUCCUCGGGCUUGAUUUUUCUCUGAGACUGCUCGGUUGGUGAUCAUGUUCAAAGAUCAUGUUUAAUGCCUUUAUACACGCUCAGUUGUGUUUUGUGUUUUCCAUUGUUCUUGCCAUUGUGUUAAUGUUGAGCUUGGUCUAAAAUGAAGUCCGAGAUGUUGUUCACUUCUUCCUGAUUCGAGUUACACUUUGUGUUUGGUUGCAUUAGCUUGGUGUCUGAUUUCACCAGUUUCUUCCACAAAGUUCUUUGGGUUUUGAAAUGGAUCUCCAGUGGAUCAAGAGCUCGUUUGGUCUCUUUUCGAAUUGCAUAGGCUAGGUGGAAGUCUGGACUCCUUUAAAUUCAUUUACUCUCUAUUUUAGCCUAGAUCCUUUGGAAUCCUAUUAUCAAUGUUCUAGUGUUUGUGAGCCAAGUCUGAAAUUAAAUAGUUGAAUCCAUUUGAAGCGGUCUUUACUGAUCCUCCUUAGUUCUCAAGCUAGAAGUCUGACUGAAGUAUUCUGUCAAUAUUGCUGAGCUGCCUUGUUGCAUGCUCUGUGGUGGUUAUGCUAAAUCUUAAAUCAAGUGAUCAUAUAUUACUGCACUUUGUAUAUAGAUGUGUAGGGGGCAUGUUGUUUUAGUCUGAUUCGAUAUUUGUGGUAUAGUUUAAAUCAAAUUUAUUUUGUUUGUUUUCAUGUAGUUUUGUCAAGGGUCACCUGUUCUUGUUUGAAAUUCUAGGUUAAUUUAAAGUGCAUAAGGAUUAAGGUAGUUCAAAUAGAUCACAUGGGGUACAGAAGUGUGUUUUCUUCUUUAGUUUUACUAUUGGCAUCUACUUUCCCUCGAUGCUCGCAUCUAUUGAAUGCUUGAAUACUCUCAUGUUGAACCUGCUUGGCCCUAGUUGACACCUUAUUCAUGCUACUAUGAUGAAAUGAUUUCUGUGUUCAUUAUGAUAAAGAAAUCACAUGAUGAACCUUGUUAAGUAUAUCAGGAAACCUGCCCUCAUAUCUUAAUAUAACUUGUUGGGAUUCUCUUCUGUAUUGAGUUGUUACUGUUUUCCAUCUCAUGACUGUCUGAAUUUUGUGAUGAUAUCCACAUGAAAUCCUUACUGCUAUGCUGAGGGAUAAUUCUUCUUAACCUCCAUACCUGAGCUCAUAUCUAUCGUGUUACUUUUGAAGUGUUCAUGGACCAUUACGUGACCUUAGCUUGAGAAACUUUGAACUUGUAUCUGUGUGUUAACCUAUUAAGGCUCUGUACAUAUAGUAAUCCUGACCAUUGAGCUUGCAUAUACUCUCAUUUGGGGUGAGCUCCUGCGUGUGGGUUUAAAGGUGUGACUGUUGGGCCUCUUGCUGGGCCAAGUCCAAACAUGCAUAAUAGAUUCAAAAGUGAAUGCACUCUCGUUAGCCUUUUUCAUUUAUGAAAUUGAGGCACGCCAUUUAAAACCAAUAGUAAUUUAUGGCCCUCAGGAGUUAAUUUAAGACCUGGUUAGAAUAAUUGGAGGUGUUUCAUGCCAAACAAAAAAAAAUGACAACUGCAUGGCCCUCAUUUGGUUAAUAUCAUUUUAUACUUAUAAUUCGAGAUGGGCCCUUUAGUGAAUUUCACGGCCCUCCCCAAAGAUAAUAACACGUUAGUCUCUUUAGGCACGUCUUUUAAAUAAAAUUACAUUUCUCGAGUUUGUAUUUCAUGUGACCCAAAUCAAAUCCCAAAACGUUGAAUAAAAUGUGUUUAGCAUUGCGGGUGCUUUUUAUGUGGGGCGAUCCAAAGACACAUUUUAAACGACGUUCAACGUUCUUUAAAAAUUAAAGAAAAAGCGGUUAAAGGUUAAAAUCGGUACAUAGGUUCAUCAUGUAAUAAAAUCAGAUAAGUAAGCUAAAUGCAACAGUUUAGUGACCGUGCUAGAACUACGGAACCCGGGAAUGCCUAAUACCUUCUCUUGGGUUAACAGAAUUCCUUAUCCAGAUUUCUGGUUCGCGGACUGUAAUAGAGAGUCAUAUUUUUUCUCGGUUCAAGAUUAAACCGGUGACUUGGGACACAAUUAAUCUCCCAAGUGGCGACUCUAAAAUCUUAAUAAUAAAUUUCGUUCCGAUUGUCCUUUAAUUGAUAAAAUUCCUUUUAUGCCCUUGCGAGUGUAGUGAAAAAGGAGGCGUGACAGUACAUCUUUUGUGGCAUAUGAAUAUUAUUUCUGGGAGUGAGUAAAUUCUUUCUAUCUUGAGUUGCUAAGUGUUCUUAAAUUUUAUUGUGUGGAACUACUCUCUUUUGUUGUGUGAGGGCACUUAAUUCAUGAAGGAAAGGUAAUUUCAGUGACCUCUAUGUUAGAAUAAGUGAAUGAGAUGCGAAUAAUGCGUGGUACUUGUGAGUCAAAUCAUGAGGUGAAGAUGUUAUGCUUUUGUGCUUAAUCUAUUUUAAAUAAAUUCAUGAAGGAAAGGUAAUGUCAGUGACCUCUAUGUUAGAGUAAGUAGGUGAAUUAUGAAUAAUGCACGGUACUUGUGAGUCAAAUCUUGAGGUGAAGAUGUUACACUUUUGUGCUUAGUCUAUUUUAAAUAUUCUUGGUGUGAUGAGUUAAGAAAAUUGCUUAAGAAGGUCGUGUCUAUAUAAAAUAUAGUUUGAUUGCUCGAGGACGAGCAACGAUUUAAGUGUGGGGUAUUGAUAAUAGGCUAUAAUUACGUAUUUUAGUCUAUUAUUACACUCUAAUUUACUGCUUUUUAGUUGAGUUUGCGCUUUAAUCAUUAGUGUUUUGCACUAAUGGUGUAUUUUAUGCCUUGUAGGAGUGAUUACGAGCUAUAUAGAUGUUAUGGAAUGAAUUCAAGUGAUUUGAAGCUUUGAAGUAUGAGUAAAAUCCCAAGGAAUUAAGCCGGGAUCGUAUUCGUGGAUCAACGGAUGAUAAAACAACAAAACGAAGACUCGAGUAGGUAUAUUGUGCACUGUCUAGUGAAAUACACAUAACUUUUUUUUCAGAAUUCCAUUUGGGCUCCACAUUAUAUGGUUGGAAAGCUAACUCAAAGAGAUACAACUCUCAUGUUUUAUGGUUUUCCAAAUUCCAAAUAGAAUAGGGUGAAACAUGCAGUCAAAACUGUAACCGCGGUAGGACCGUGGCGGAACACUGCUGCAGAUGAUUCUGAAUGCCACUCUACCUGUGGUCCAGGCAUAUCCGUGGUAGCACCGUGGCGGGACGCAUGAAUUUCAGGGAUCAAAUUGCAAAAUACGGAAUUUUAUGCCCUAAACCCUAUAUUAAACGAGGAGGUCGGCAAAGAAAGGAAGAGAAAGAUUCUUGGGAAGUGAAAAACAUAAGAAGGAAGGGCGAAAGGUAAGGGGGAUCAUUAGGCAUAAAUCUUUAAACAUUUUCAUUGCUUUUUUUGCCUUUGAAUAGAAUUAUUUUGUGAUUUUUAUUAUUUUCAUGAGUAGCUAACUUUUCUAAUCUAAGGUUCUGGGUGAAACCCAUUAGGGAUAAAUUGGUUGUUAUAUUAAUAUAGUUUUGAGUUAGUUGUUAAUCU
rnacentral:lncRNA from 1 species